GAUAGCCAAAUAUAACGGUUGGAUCGAGAGUGAUAUUGGUCACCAUUCUGACCUCACCGAUAGUGGAAUCGUAAAGCCCACCCCAUUGAGUUGCCUUGGCGACUAGUGCUAACGCACCAACGCCUAAAAACAGGAGGUGAUGGCCUAAAAUAACGCCGAGCUUGGCAGGAUCAUCCCA
rnacentral:antisense_RNA from 1 species